GUGCUUGCUUUGACAGCACACAUACUAAAAUUGGAAAAAAACAGAGAAAAUUAGCAUGGGCCCUGCUGGAGUACACCAUGUGCGGUAGUUACUUUUCUCUCAUUCCU
ensembl:snRNA U6 U6 spliceosomal RNA